rnacentral:rRNA from 1 species
AUGAGCGUCCAACAUGUCAUUGACCUUGUGAAAGCCAUCUUUCAUUACAAGGUGAAAUACGGCAAGGCAUGGAAGGCGAAGCAAGCCGCAUUUAAGAUGUUGUAUGGUACAUGGGAGGAAGCAUACAACCGAAUCCCUAGGUUGUUGUUAGCCAUGGCCGCGACAAACCCGGGCAUGGUUCAUGUGGUCGAGCCUCAUGGGCACCAAACAACGGUUCAUGAAGGAAGGAAAGUCAGAGUAUUUGGCCGUGCUUUUUGGGCGUUCGAGCAAUGUGUGAGGGCUUUCGAACAUUGUAGGCCGGUCAUCGCAAUUGAUGGCACGUUCUUGACCGGACAAUACAAGGGCACCUUGUUGGUUGCGAUAGCAAGUGAUGCCAAUAACCCGGUGUUGCCAUUGGCAUUUGCUUUGGUUGAGGUGGAAAACAAUGACAACUGGGAGUGGUUUCUGCAUCUUUUGAGGACGAAGGUGUUACCCGCUCAAAGGGAAAUUUGUGUCAUAUCGGAUCGGAAUCAAGGAAUUCUUAACGCCGUGGAGAUUGACAUUCCCGGGCAUGCUCCGUUGCACCAUCGCUGGUGCAUGAGGCACUUUUGUUCGAACUUCUAUAGGGCAUGUGGCCUUAAGGAGUUGGCCGAUGAUCUUCAAGAUUGUUGUCUCGCUUUCUCCGAUAAGCGCUUCGCCACUUUGUACAACAGAUUGCUCGCACACAAAAAACUUGAUCCCGGGGGUCAAGAGUUUCUCAAUAGGCACAUUCAAUACCGGAACAAGUGGGCACGUGCUUUUGAUGAAGAUGGCCGGAGAUGCAGUCAAAUGACAAGCAAUAUGGCCGAAUGCUUCAAUAGGGUGCUCAAAGGUGCACGUGGAUUACCCGUGACGGCAAUAGUUCAAUACACAUUUGACAAGAUGAAUGCGUACUUUGUAAAGUACUCGAUGGAAACCGAUGCACAGAUAGCGGGUGAGAACCCACGGAAGUACAAGUACAAGUUCCCACCCAAAGUUGAUGAAUGGUUGCUAUUUCAAUCACGGAAGGCGGACUCAGAAGAAGCUAUAUUAUAUGACAAUGAAGAGUGGAAGUACGAAGUGAAAGAGCCAGGAGGAACCACAAAUGAUGGCCGGCAACAUGGAGGUCGGGCUUUCAAGGUGUCGUUAACACAAUGUGAUUGCACUUGCGGGAGGCCAUUGUUGCUUCAUCUCCCAUGCUCACAUUUGUAUGCCGCCGGCCGCGUUAGGAAUGUGGACAUCAAUCACCCACGCACCGUGAGGGAGUCGGAG